rnacentral:misc_RNA from 1 species
AAGUCGUAACAAGGUUUCCGUAGGUGAACCUGCGGAAGGAUCAUUAACACGUAUCCAACGUUAAACAACCCUGUGAACCUUGAACGUGCUCCUGCAGCCCCAUGAAAUCAGCAAUCCCUGGUAAAUCAUUGUUGACCAGCUUUUGAGUCAGGCCGAAACGGCUGUUCAGUACCGAGCGCGGUGUCCCAGGGCUCACGCCCCUUUAUCACCCCACAGUUUCCGACUGGGCAGCCGAUAAUACGGACGCCGUAAAAAACUGAACAACUGUUAACAAUGGAUAUCUUGGUUCUC